rnacentral:rRNA from 1 species
AAUGAACGCUAGCGAUAGGCUUAACACAUGCAAGUCGAGGGGCAGCAUGGUCUUAGCUUGCUAAGACUGAUGGCGACCGGCGCACGGGUGCGUAACGCGUAUGCAACUUGCCUCACAGAGGGGGAUAACCCGUCGAAAGACGGACUAAUACCGCGUACACUUGGGAUAGGGCAUCCUGACCCAAGGAAAUGAAAUUCGCUGUGAGAUAGGCAUGCGUCCCAUUAGCUAGUUGGUGAGGUAACGGCUCACCAAGGCGACGAUGGGUAGGGGAACUGAGAGGUUGAACCCCCACACUGGUACUGAGACGCGGACCAGACUCCUACGGGAGGCAGCAGUGAGGAAUAUUGGUCAAUGGGCGAGAGCCUGAACCAGCCAAGUCGCGUGAAGGAUGACUGUCUUAUGGAUUGUAAACUUCUUUUAUACGGGAAUAACAAGAGCCACGUGUGGCUCCCUGCAUGUACCGUAUGAAUAAGCAUCGGCUAACUCCGUG